CCCUUAGAUGUCCUGGGCCGCACGCGCGCUACACUGAGUGUCUGAGAUACGAGUCUGCCUGGUCCGGCAAGGUCUAGGUAAUCGCUAAAAGACACAUCAUGCUUGGGAUAGAUUAUUGCAAAUAUUAAUCUUGAACGAGGAAUUCCUAGUAAGCGCAAGUCAACAGCUUGCGUUGAUUACGUCCCUGCCCUUUGUACACACCGCCCGUCGCUACUAUUGAUUGGAUGUUUAAGCGAGGUUCUCGAACUGCUAGCGACUUAGCUUCGGUGAGGUCGCAGUGUGGGAAGUGAACCUAGCUUUGGUGUCUAGAGGAAGUAAAAGUCGUAACA
rnacentral:rRNA from 1 species